AUUAUACUCCCUCCGUCCAAAAGUACUGGUCAUCAAAAUGGACAAAAACGGAUGUAUCUAAAACUAAAAUACAUCUAGAUACAUCCCUUUUAUCCAUUUUGAUAAAAAGUAUUUCCGGACGGAGGGAGUAUAUA
rfam:Triticum urartu cultivar G1812 contig857810, whole genome shotgun sequence.